rnacentral:tRNA from 1 species
GCGGACGUGGCGGAACUGGCAGACGCGCUAGACUUAGGAUCUAGUGUCUUUGACGUGGAGGUUCAAGUCCUCUCGUCCGCACCA